rnacentral:rRNA from 1 species
UACGUAGGGUGCGAGCGUUGUCCGGAAUUAUUGGGCGUAAAGGGCUCGUAGGCGGUCUGUUGCGUCAGGAGUGAAAACUCGGGGCUUAACCCCGAGCCUGCUUCUGAUACGGGCAGACUAGAGGUAUGCAGGGGAGAACGGAAUUCCUGGUGUAGCGGUGAAAUGCGCAGAUAUCAGGAGGAACACCUAUGGCGAAGGCAGCUCUCUGGGACGGUACUGACGCUGAGACGCGAAAGCGUGGGGAGCGAACAGG